UGCAAGUCGUACGCGUUGGCCCAACUGAUUUGAAGUGCUUGCACGGAUCUGACGUUGGUUUACCAACGAGUGGCGGACGGGUGAGUAACACGUAGGUAACCUGCCCAGAAGCGGGGGACAACACUUGGAAACAGGUGCUAAUACCGCAUAACAAUUCAAAUCGCAUGAUUUGAAUUUAAAAGAUGGUUUCGGCUAUCACUUCUGGAUGGACCUGCGGCGCAUUAGCUUGUUGGUGGGGUAACGGCCUACCAAGGCAGUGAUGCGUAGCCGAGUUGAGAGACUGAUCGGCCACAAUGGGACUGAGACACGGCCCAUACUCCUACGGGAGGCAGCAGUAGGGAAUCUUCCACAAUGGGCGCAAGCCUGAUGGAGCAACACCGCGUGAGUGAAGAAGGUUUUCGGAUCGUAAAGCUCUGUUGUUGAAGAAGAACGUGCAUGAGAGUAACUGUUCAUGCAGUGACGGUAUUCAACCAGAAAGUCACGGCUAACUACGUGCCAGCAGCCGCGGUAAUACGUAGGUGGCAAGCGUUAUCCGGAUUUAUUGGGCGUAAAGAGAGUGCAGGCGGUUUCUUAAGUCUGAUGUGAAAGCCUUCGGCUCAACCGAAGAAGUGCAUCGGAAACUGGGAAACUUGAGUACAGAAGAGGGCAGUGGAACUCCAUGUGUAGCGGUGGAAUGCGUAGAUAUAUGGAAGAACACCAGUGGCGAAGGCGGCUGCCUGGUCUGUAACUGACGCUGAGACUCGAAAGCAUGGGUAGCGAACAGGAUUAGAUACCCUGGUAGUCCAUGCCGUAAACGAUGAGUGCUAGGUGUUGGAGGGUUUCCGCCCUUCAGUGCCGGAGCUAACGCAUUAAGCACUCCGCCUGGGGAGUACGACCGCAAGGUUGAAACUCAAAGGAAUUGACGGGGGCCCGCACAAGCGGUGGAGCAUGUGGUUUAAUUCGAAGCUACGCGAAGAACCUUACCAGGUCUUGACAUCUUGCGCCAACCCUAGAGAUAGGGCGUUUCCUUCGGGAACGCAAUGACAGGUGGUGCAUGGUCGUCGUCAGCUCGUGUCGUGAGAUGUUGGGUUAAGUCCCGCAACGAGCGCAACCCUUGUUACUAGUUGCCAGCAUUAAGUUGGGCACUCUAGUGAGACUGCCGGUGACAAACCGGAGGAAGGUGGGGACGACGUCAGAUCAUCAUGCCCCUUAUGACCAGGGCUACACACGUGCUACAAUGGACGGUACAACGAGCAGCGAACUCGCGAGGGCAAGCAAAUCUCUUAAAACCGUUCUCAGUUCGGAUUGCAGGCUGCAACUCGCCUGCAUGAAGUCGGAAUCGCUAGUAAUCGCGGAUCAGCAUGUCGCGGUGAAUACGUUCCCGGGCCUGGUACACACCGCCCGUCACACCAUGAGAGUUUGUAACACCCAAAGUCGGUGGGGUAACCUUUGGAGCC
rnacentral:rRNA from 1 species